rnacentral:rRNA from 1 species
UACGUAGGGACCGAGCGUUGUCCGGAAUCAUUGGGCGUAAAGAGCGUGUAGGCGGCCACUUAAGUCCUGCGUGAAAUCUUGCGGCUCAACCGCAAGCGGUCGUGGGAAACUGGGUGGCUAGAGUGCGGGAGAGGAGAGUGGAAUUCCUGGUGUAGCGGUGAAAUGCGCAGAUAUCAGGAGGAACACCGGUGGCGAAGGCGGGACUCUGGGCCGAUACUGACGCUGAGGAGCGAAAGCGUGGGGAGCAAACAGG